UCGAACGCUGAAGCCUGGUGCUUGCACCGGGUGGAUGAGUGGCGAACGGGUGAGUAAUACGUGAGUGACCUGCCUUUGACUCUGGGAUAAGCCUGGGAAACUGGGUCUAAUACCGGAUGCGACUACUGCCCGCAUGGGCUGGUGGUGGAAAGGGUUAUGUACUGGUCUUAGAUGGGCUCACGGCCUAUCAGCUGGUUGGUGGGGUAAUGGCCUACCAAGGCGACGACGGGUAGCCGGCCUGAGAGGGUGACCGGCCACACUGGGACUGAGACACGGCCCAGACUCCUACGGGAGGCAGCAGUGGGGAAUAUUGCACAAUGGGCGCAAGCCUGAUGCAGCGACGCCGCGUGAGGGAUGACGGCCUUCGGGUUGUAAACCUCUUUCAGCAGGGAAGAAGCGGAAGUGACGGUACCUGCAGAAGAAGCGCCGGCUAACUACGUGCCAGCAGCCGCGGUAAUACGUAGGGCGCAAGCGUUGUCCGGAAUUAUUGGGCGUAAAGAGCUCGUAGGCGGCUUGUCGCGUCUGCUGUGAAAGCCCGGGGCUUAACUCCGGGUGUGCAGUGGGUACGGGCAGGCUAGAGUGCAGUAGGGGUAACUGGAAUUCCUGGUGUAGCGGUGAAAUGCGCAGAUAUCAGGAGGAACACCGAUGGCGAAGGCAGGUUACUGGGCUGUUACUGACGCUGAGGAGCGAAAGCAUGGGGAGCGAACAGGAUUA
rnacentral:rRNA from 2 species